rnacentral:rRNA from 1 species
GACAGAGGGUGCAAACGUUGCUCGGAAUUACUGGGCGUAAAGGGCGUGUAGGCGGGCAGGUAAGUCGGGCGUGAAAUCCCUGGGCUCAACCCAGGAACUGCACUCGAAACUACUUGCCUUGAGUGCCGGAGAGGAAAGCGGAAUUCCUGGUGUAGAGGUGAAAUUCGUAGAUAUCAGGAGGAACGACCAGUGGCGGAAGGCGGCUU